rnacentral:rRNA from 1 species
GUGGGGAAUCUUGCGCAAUGGGGGAAACCCUGACGCAGCAACGCCGCGUGGGUGAUGAAGGCCUUCGGGUCGUAAAGCCCUGUCAGGUGGGAAGAAACUUGUCGAUGCCAAUACCAUCGAUACUUGACGGUACCACCGGAGGAAGCACCGGCUAACUCCGUGCCAGCAGCCGCGGUAAUACGGAGGGUGCAAGCGUUGUUCGGAAUUAUUGGGCGUAAAGCGCGUGCAGGCGGUCGGGUAAGUCAGAUGUGAAAGCCUUUCGCUUAACGAGAGAAGUGCAUUUGAAACUGCUCGGCUAGAGUACGGGAGAGGAGAGUGGAAUUCCCGGUGUAGAGGUGAAAUUCGUAGAUAUCGGGAGGAACACCAGUGGCGAAGGCGACUCUCUGGUCCGAUACUGACGCUGAGACGCGAAAGCGUGGGGAGCAAACAGGAUUAGAAACCCGGGUAGUCC